GACAGAGGGGGGCAAGCGUUGUCCGGAAUUACUGGGCGUACAGGGCACGCAGGUGGCCGUACAGGUGGCGUGUGAAAGCCCCCGCGCUUAACGCGGGGAGUGCAGGCCAAACGGUGCGGCUCGAGCGAUGCAGAGGGUGGGGGGAAUUGCCGGGUGUAGUGGUGAAAUGCGUAGAGAUCGGCAGGAACACCAAAGAACGAAGGUACCCACCUGGGCAUCGAGCUGACACUCAGGUGCG
rnacentral:rRNA from 1 species